UACGUAGGGUGCAAGCGUUAAUCGGAAUUACUGGGCGUAAAGCGUGCGCAGGCGGUUUUGUAAGACUGUCGUGAAAUCCCCGGGCUCAACCUGGGAAUGGCGAUGGUGACUGCAAGGCUAGAGUUUGGCAGAGGGGGGUAGAAUUCCACGUGUAGCAGUGAAAUGCGUAGAGAUGCGGAGGAACACCGAUGGCGAAGGCAGCCCCCUGGGCUAACACUGACGCUCAGGCACGAAAGCGUGGGGAGCAAACAGG
rnacentral:rRNA from 1 species